UGGGGAAUAUUGGACAAUGGGCGAAAGCCUGAUCCAGCAAUGCCGCGUGAGUGAUGAAGGCCUUAGGGUUGUAAAGCUCUUUUACCAGGGAUGAUAAUGACAGUACCUGGAGAAUAAGCUCCGGCUAACUCCGUGCCAGCAGCCGCGGUAAUACGGAGGGAGCUAGCGUUGUUCGGAAUUACUGGGCGUAAAGCGCACGUAGGCGGCGAUUCAAGUCAGAGGUGAAAGCCCGGGGCUCAACCCCGGAACUGCCUUUGAAACUAGAUUGCUAGAAUCCUGGAGAGGUGAGUGGAAUUCCGAGUGUAGAGGUGAAAUUCGUAGAUAUUCGGAAGAACACCAGUGGCGAAGGCGACUCACUGGACAGGUAUUGACGCUGAGGUGCGAAAAGCGUGGGGAGCAAACAGGAUUAGAUACCCUGGUAGUCCACGCCGUAAACGAUGAUAACUAGCUGUCCGGGCUCAUAGAGCUUGGGUGGCGCAGCUAACGCAUUAAGUUAUCCGCCUGGGGAGUACGGUCGCAAGAUUAAAACUCAAAAGGAAUUGACGGGGUCAUAGCUGUUUCCU
rnacentral:rRNA from 1 species